GCCCGCCUAGCUCAGUUGGUAGAGCUCAAGGCUCUUAACCUUGUGGUCGUGGGAUCAAGUCUCACGGUGAGCA